rnacentral:misc_RNA from 1 species
AGGCCGUCCGCAAGGAAUGGCUGGAAGUGUGAUACCCUCCGCUCCGCUAUGGAGACAUUGACGUCGCGGAAAUGCCGGAUGCGUUCGGAUGACCGAACAAAGUGUUCUGCGCCUGUCGAUCGCCGUAACCCUGGCNNNNAUUCUGUUCGGUCUUCUGUCGGGGUCCUACGCAAUUGUUUUCGACGGCGUCUACGCGCUGA